rnacentral:rRNA from 1 species
UAACGAGAGUGGCAGACGGGUGAGUAACGCGUGGGAACCUUCCCAGUGGUACGGAAUAGCUCAGGGAAACUUGAGGUAAUACCGUAUACGCCCUUCGGGGGAAAGAUUUAUCGCCAUUGGAUGGGCCCGCGUCGGAUUAGCUAGUUGGUGAGGUAACGGCUCACCAAGGCGACGAUCCGUAGCUGGUCUGAGAGGAUGAUCAGCCACACUGGGACUGAGACACGGCCCAG